GAAUAGACAAAAGUGCUCUUAUUCCUAGGAUGAUGCGUUUAUAUUACGCACGACACCUUUUUCCUUUUCAAAUUUUGUGUCGCCCCAAUCCUUUAUCCUUCUCUUCUCGCCAUAUCCAUUGUGCGACUUUGCCUUGCCGCCACUAUAAUUGAAUGUAGAGGACAACCGCCAUGACAGUGCGUCCUUGUUGUUCAAGACACUGUUUCAGCUUUCUGGUCUAGUUGUGGGUUUGAUCUUUUGUAGGUUCCGUAGACAUAUGUUGUAUGCCUUCCUUGGCUUUGGAGGAUGGUGUGGUGAUUAGAAGGGAACCUUGUUAAUGGGUUUCUAUGGUAAAGUAUCCAGAGGGGAUAUUCUAAAUGUUGUGAUCAUGGCACUACUGUAGGGAUUUCAACUUUGCUAGAAGCUGGGAUAUAGGAAGGUGUAGUGUUUUUCUAACUCCGUCACACCUGUGGAGCUUGUGAACAAGGAAGUUUCAGUGCAACACCAAUAUAGCAAUGUGCUAGUCUUGAUAAGGAGGUUAUUGUAUGUGCACUGUGAUGCAUACCUUUCAAGAAACCAACACUUGUGCGAACAUGCCCGCGAAAUUGGGAGGUGAGAGUCAGGGUCAAAUGGAGCCUUUAGCCAUGAUGAGAUUGUGUUUGCUUGCUAAUGCGUUAUUAGGGGUCCAGUUAAUGGGUGGCUAAUUUAGUUUUUCUGUUUGUUUUGCUUUCUUUUUCUCGUAUGUAAUAAAAAAAAUUAUGAUGGUUGUAACCAAUAUCAUUUUCAUGAUUUGAAAAUUGACAUGGAUAACAUAA